rnacentral:rRNA from 1 species
UGAGGAAUAUUGGACAAUGGGCGGGAGCCUGAUCCAGCCAUGCCGCGUGCAGGAAGACUGCCCUAUGGGUUGUAAACUGCUUUUAUACAGGAAGAAUAAGCCUUACGUGUAAGGUGAUGACGGUACUGUAAGAAUAAGGACCGGCUAACUCCGUGCCAGCAGCCGCGGUAAUACGGAGGGUCCGAGCGUUAUCCGGAAUUAUUGGGUCUAAAGGGUCCGUAGGCGGAUGAUUAAGUCAGGGGUGAAAGUUUGCAGCUCAACUGUAAAAUUGCCUUUGAUACUGGUUAUCUUGAGUUGUAUUGAAGUAGGCGGAAUAUGUAGUGUAGCGGUGAAAUGCAUAGAUAUUACAUAGAACACCAAUUGCGAAGGCAGCUUACUAAGUACUAACUGACGCUGAUGGACGAAAGCGUGGGUAGCGAACAGGAUUAGAUACCCUGGUAGUCCACGCCGUAAACGAUGGAUACUAGCUGUCCGGGACCUUGAGUUCUGGGCGGCCCAGCGAAAGUGAUAAGUAUCCCACCUGGGGGGUACGUUCGCAAGAAUGAAACUCAAAGGAAUUGACGGGGGCCCGCACAAGCGGUGGAGCAUGUGGUUUAAUUCGAUGAUACGCGAGGAACCUUACC